rnacentral:rRNA from 1 species
GAGCGGUAACGCGGGAGCAAUCCUGGCGACGAGCGGCGGACGGGUGAGCAAUGCUUGGGAAUCUGCCCAGUAGUGGGGGACAACCCGGGGAAACUCGGGCUAAUACCGCAUACGUCCUACGGGAGAAAGCGGGGGUCGCAAGACCUCGCGCUAUUGGAUGAGCCCAAGUCGGAUUAGCUAGUUGGUGGGGUAAAGGCCCACCAAGGCGACGAUCCGUAGCUGGUCUGAGAGGACGACCAGCCACACCGGAACUGAGACACGGUCCGGACUCCUACGGGAGGCAGCAGUGGGGAAUAUUGGACAAUGGGGGCAACCCUGAUCCAGCGACGCCGCGUGGGUGAAGAAGGCCUGCGGGUUGUAAAGCCCUUUCGGUGGGGAAGAAAAGUUCCGACCUAACACGUCGGGACCUUGACGUUACCCACAGAAGAAGCACCGGCUAACUCUGUG